rnacentral:rRNA from 1 species
CCUACGGGGGGCUGCAGUGAGGAAUAUUGGUCAAUGGGCGCGAGCCUGAACCAGCCAAGUAGCGUGAGGGAUGACUGCCCUGCGGGUUGUAAACUUCUUUUAUCAGGGAAUAAAGUGAGGCACGUGUGCCUGUUUGUGUGUACUUGAUGAAUAAGGAUCGGCUAACUCCGUGCCAGCAGCCGCGGUAAUACGGAGGAUGCGAGCGUUAUCCGGAUUUAUUGGGGUUAAAGGGAGCGGCGGUGGGUUGUUAAGUCAGUUGUGAAAGUGUGGGGCUCAACCGUAAGAUUGCAAUUGAUACUGGCAGCCUUGAGUACAGGUGAGGUAGGCGGAAUUCGUGGUGUAGCGGUGAAAUGCUUAGAUAUCACGAAGAACCCCGAUUGCGAAGGCAGCUUAC